CAGCAGGCACUUGUGUCAGCCUGAACCUGUUACAGACAAUGGAUUAUUCCAUAGGAAGCAGGGCACUCUAAUUGCUACUCCAGGGAUUUGGAGGAGGGGAGCAGGGACAGGAUGAUGUGUCCCUUUUCUCUCAGGUUUCGUUAAAGCAGGCAUUGCCGGAAGUGAUGUAAUUCAGUGACUUCCUCCGAGAUUCACCGAGUGGACAGCGCUGAGCGAGCGUGGAUCUUCAGGACCAUGGCUGGUUACAGCCGCAUGAGCAUUAACGUUUCUCAACUCUUUUCUUUUCAUUGUCCUAGUGGCAACAUUACAACUCCUCGUACGUUGGAACCAGACUAUGACAGCCAACAAUCGUCAGGGUCCACACAAGAGUAAAAAAUAAGUCAAGAAGAUGUUGCAGGACCAUCUGAUCAAAAUGCCGACUAGGCAAGUAGAUGAGCGGCAAAUGAUGGAUACAAUUCUAACGCUGGUAGCAGCCACAGAGGUGGCCGGUCAGGCGGUCGUUGUAGGGGACGAGCAAUCACAGUAGAAAGUGAGGCAAUAGCAGUGCUUCAAAGGGUAGAUGCGGAGGACCAUUGGGACCAUAUCACAUAUACAAUGGCUGAAAGGCUGCGCAAACUCCCAGAAGGAAGACAAUGGUCAUGUGUUCCUGCAGUUUUUUUAAAUGAUGGCUUUAAAUGCCUCUCCUGAUCCUAUUCCAGAAAAUGCAGAGGUUAUUACUACUAUAGGCAACUUACUUAAAAAGUAUUGCCUUGAUAACCAGGUCAGCAGACCCCCGACAAACAACCCUUUAGAUAACUCAGGACAGACUGACACUGCAACCCCUAUGCCCAGAUUUACAAACACCUAUGAGGAAAUGUAUCAACAACAGUACAAUGCACAUUCUAGGUCAAAUCCUUCUUCAUAUCUAACCUUACUUCAUGGUCCAUGUGAUGAAGAAGAAUCUCAGGGUACUGUUCAAAGGGUCAAUUGAGUGAUUUCCCACCAUCACCAUCUGAGCUAACAUCUGGCCAAGAGCAAACACAUUAUCAGCCGCUGUAAUGACUUGUAUGAGGUUUGUUUAGUGAUUUGUUUUACGUUUUCUAAACACUUUUCAAAAAAAAUUAAGUUGGUCACAGUCUGUGGAAAAUGGUCAUCUGCAAUCUAAAUGAUACAAUUUGGCUGCCUUUAUAAGCCAAUAUUAUUGGACUACUUUUCAUUCUGUUAGGCCAAAAUGUUUGGUAAAUUUUUUGAAGGGCAAACAAAAUAUGUAAUGUAAGGAUGUAUCUAUUUUUUUUCAUGUGUAGCUGUUGACAUUUUUCAACAUUUUGCCAUUGACAUGGGCCAUGACAUACCUUUUAUGUGAUUAUUGUUGUGUUGAUUUAUUCAUGAAAAUACCUCCUUUCUCCUAGAAGUAAUCUUAUGUGCAUUAUGACACUUACAAAUACACUGCUUACACAAUUCACAUCUUUUCCUUAAAGGGGUAU